rnacentral:lncRNA from 1 species
CUGGACUUAUAUAAUUGAGACCCCGUUCCUACACCCUCUCGAGCUCUCUCUUUCGACACCCACAACCUCUCUCUCCUCCACAACCACCGCCACCUCCCAUGUCGUCUCCAGCGCCUCCAUCGACUCUGGCCAGUACUUCGUCGACCUCCGCCCCGACACUCCUCCUCGUCGCCGACACCGGCAUGGAUCUGGUCUGGCUUCGCUGUUCCUCCUGCAAAAGACGCGCCAAUCAGCGAGAACUACAUUGAGUCUGAGAUUUGGAUCGGGGGGAGAGAGUCUUAGUUUUACUUUUCGUAUUAGGCCGUGAAAGAGAGAGGAUGAGAC